AAUUUGUAGGUAUCUGAAACAUAAAGCUUCUAUUUUCAUCUAUCUUCCCCGAAGCCCACUUUUUCUCUCUCUGACUACUGUGUUGCCUCUGGCAGGUCCGAACGGCCAUCAUCCCAUCGCCGGAGCCGUACACGCGCCAGCCCAAUCGAACCGUCGGCCCUCGAAACGUCGACCCUCACGAGCUCACCAUCAUACGCGCUGCCCAGGGCUGUCAACCAAUGGUCCGAAGCCGUCCGCCUCUUGCACAUUCUGGCGAGAUUCCGACUAGCCCGAGCCUCUAGUUUGAAGAAGGGCACGGGGAAGAGGUGUGGGUCUGGGCUCGUGGUCUUCCUCGUCUCAAAUGCGGGGCUGAGGACGAGGAAGAUCUAGUGUGCCGUUGAGGUCCACUGCCAGGAACGCGAAGCACCAACGUCGGUUGUCUUCUCCAUUGCUCGUGAGGCUUGGUGGCUUCAUAUCGUUGGCAUGCCCAGGGAGUGACGGGAUCGAUGCUGGAGCUAGGAAGACGUGAAGGUGAGGUAGGUCGGCAUUGUGGAAGACGCGAGGCUGGUGUCGACACUGCAGGUGGGUUUAAAAAAGGGUUAGAUAUGGCUCAUCUGGUUUAUUUUUUAUGGGUUUCAUUUCUGUGAUGAGAUUUGAGUUUUUUCUUCAUGUUUUAUGAGUUUGAAUCUUAAUAUUGACGAGAGAGGUUUGAUUUUGGGGGAGCUUUGAUAAAGAAGCUACGUAUUGCCUCUAACAGGUUUCCACUCUCUCUGCCAUGCUUCUUUUCUGUUCUUCCUUAUGUUAUUUUCUACCUGCUGCUACUACUUUUCAUUUUGAAAUCAAAUGAUACUAUUUCUGAUCAUCACCUUCUAUUUAGUCUUUCCAACUGUUAUAUACGACUGGUAUGCGGAGACUCCUAACACACCUUGCCUAGAUUCCUAAUAAUACUCCAGCAGGCCCUUUUUUUCGUAAAUGCUGAUAUGUUCUAUAUGAAGUUUCUUUUUUUUUUUCUUCAUUUGCUCUUCAAGUCAUUUUCUAUUAUUUCCACUAACAACAUAUAACUUUGACAAGAUACAAAGUCAGCUCCAUUUCUACACUGUUUUGACCAUUUCAGUAAUAUAUAUAUAUAUUCUACUACUAUAUCAUCGGUUAUGCAGAUUAAGGAUUUCAAUAUGACCACAACUAUUGCUCAAAAUUGCAUUGCUAUCAGAGAUUUGAAGAAGAAGCUGACUAUCUCAUAUCCGUGUGUUAUGUUGAAUGUUGAUGUAUCUGAAAACAAUACAAAUGAUCAGUACCAGACCCUGCAGAUCCUUUGACCAAAUCUUAUACAACACAUAGUGAGUGCUCAAUUGAAUUUGAAGUGGAUGGACCAUACAAGCUUCAAAAGAAGAGGGAAUUUUGAUUAAGAAGCGAUAUGCAGUUUUCAACGAUGAUGGGACCCUUGCUGAACUUAAAGGUUUUGAAAUUAAGCUUAGAGGUGAGCUGAAGCUCAUCAAAGUUUUCCAGGCUGAGCUUUUCGACAAGUUUCUCAAUGGCUCAACAUUAGUGGAAUGCUAUUCAGCUGUUGCUUCUGUUGCCAACCGCUGGCUUGAUCUUCUUGAUAAUCAAGGAAAGGAUAUUGCGGAUAGCAAUCUGUUGUGGUAGGUGUCAUUGUUACUUUGACCCCACCUCCGGCCAUUGUCGGUGUCCACUUCCCAAAGUCAUCAUCGACAUUCACAAUAAGUUCAGCCAGAGAAAAGGAGGCUCUCAUGCAAUGAUCCCAAAGUGAAGAGUAGGAAGAAUGUCAAGAAAAAUGACAUUGAGUUUUCAAUUACCAAAAAAUAAUGUAUAGAUAUUUUUUUUAUGAAAUGUGCUUCUUAAUAAGCAAUGAAUAUUGUAUAAAUAUUGUAUAAUAUAUGUUUGUUUAUUUUUUUAUUAAAGUUAAAUAAUUUAUUUGAUUAAUAAUGUUAAA